rnacentral:lncRNA from 1 species
GACUUUCUCUUGUUUUUUCCUCUGCAUUGUCUUGUCUAUGGCAACUAGAUUCUCACCUCCUUAGCUGUAAAUCUUCAUCAGAUAAACACAAAUAUCAUUUAAGAUAAAAGAAGUGUCUAUUUAUUGAGCAGAAAGUGAUAGGAUUGAAAAGGAAGUUUCCCGACACUACUGGUCCUAGCAAAGAGCAGCGGCAUGGGGAUCCUCUGGCAGGUGCUAAAUGACACUGACAGAAGUUGAUGAUCACCACAAGCCAUGCAGUUACAGAGGAUUCAACUUUCAUCACAGAUUUUUUCAAAUAUUAGCAAGCACACAACAGUUUACUGAAUAGCCAUACUUGAAAAUAAGCACCUUUAAAAAAGCUGCAAUGGAUAGAAGUACACAGUGUGAUCCCCAUUUUUGAAGACUGUGCAGAUAUGUACUGUAAUCUGAAGAAAUCACCUUUUACUCUGUCUUAAGUUUUCUCUCUUCCCUUGACAACACUGACAGGAAAAAGGAGGAAAGAAAAGAAAAAGAAAAAGAAAAAGAAAAAGAAAAAGAAAAAGAAAAAGAAAAAGAAAAAGAAAAAGAAAAAGAAAAAGAAAAAGAAAAAGNAAGCAAAAGAUAUAGAAAAACAAAAAGGAUAAGGUAAUA